UGAGGCGCAAGGCGAAGGCUACGAAAGCUACUUUGCUUGAGUUCUGGCUCACUGCCGCAAUAUCUGUUGAGGCGCUUAAUACAAGGUCUACAAACACAAUGAUGAGAAUGGCGUGGUGUUUAUUCUGGUUUUCUACGGUUUUAUCACUGCAGACAAACAGAAAAACAAGGCAGCCGCUUGGACAGUAUCCACAGGACAUACAAGAACAGAUUAACCAGUGUGGCCUCCAAAGCGUGAGUG